rnacentral:rRNA from 1 species
GACGAACGCUGGCGGCGUGCUUAACACAUGCAAGUCGAACGGAAAGGCCCUGCUUGCAGGGUACUCGAGUGGCGAACGGGUGAGUAACACGUGGGUGAUCUGCCCUGCACUUCGGGAUAAGCCUUGGAAACUGUUUCUAAUACCGGAUAGGUGCCCUUUUUAUUGUUAUGGUUGGUAAGUUUUUUCGGUGUUGGAUGAGCUUGCGGCCUAUCAGCUUGUUGGUGGGGUAAUUGCCUACCAAGGCGGCGACGGGUAGCCGGACUGAGGGGGUGGACGGCCAAAGUGGGAAUGAGAUACGGCCCAGACACCUAAGGGAGGGAGAAGUGGGGAAAAGUGAAAAAGGGGAGCAAGCCUGAUGAAGAGACGCCGCGGGGGGGAUGACGGCCUUCGGGUUGUAAAAUACUUUCGCUAGGGACGAAGCAUUUUGUGACGGUACCUAGAUAAGAAGCACCGGCUAACUACGUG